GCGGAAAUGGCGAAAUUGGUAGACGCACCAGAUUUAGGUUCUGGCGCCGCAAGGUGUGAGAGUUCAAGUCUCUCCUUCCGCACCA
rnacentral:tRNA from 5 species